rnacentral:misc_RNA from 1 species
AGAAAAACUAUGCUGAGAAGGCCCAUAUGAAGAAAACGUCUGUACAUUUCUAUCACGUCAUAUACAUAUAUAAUCACUGAUCACUGUAUUUGUUACUCCUCGCUGCAUGUGUAUUUUUAAAGGAUAUUUACCUGUUAAUGUCCCUUAUUUAGAAUCCAUAUGUUUGACUGGUUUUACAUGCGAGAUUGGGAGGGUGCUCUAAAUGAGGUUAUAUAUAUAUAUAAAGGCUGUAAAAAUCCCUAUCUGAGCUCAGGGUGAUGCAAGUGUUAUUUUAGGGAUGAUGGUUGUUUUAGAUUUUUCACCAAAUUAAGUUGUGCAUAUCAAAUGGAGUUGGUAUAUAUUGAAUGCGACAGAUACUUUUUCUGAAAAUAAUUGAUAACAGCCACCUUGUUGGUUGUGUCACAGUGUUAAAAACUGCUAGCAAAGUGUUUGGCUAAUGAUGAGGUAGAAUGGGAGAAAAUAUCAAUGAGAAAGGAUGAUGCUGAUUUGUCAUUUCUCAUUGUAACACAAUGUUGAGUAGGUUUGGUUGCCAAUUAGCUAUUAUUCUUGGAAAAUUCAUGAUUCUUUGGUGUCUAGCAUACAUUUGGUACUAAAAGUACAAAAAUAAAUUGUGAGCACUCUUGUAGCUAGCCAUGCAAUAAUCUGCUGGCCUUAUUGUAAAUUUGUAAUAGUUCAAUCUAGAGGGUAAAAUACAUGUCUUCAUCUAUAUUUUGUUAGAUAGGAUCUUUUAAAGUUUCUGUGAGAAUCAUGGGCAAGUCUUUCAAUAGCUGAAACCUGUAUGCAGACUUGUGAAAUGUAUCCUCUCUGCUCAGUCAUUUUCCUCCUGUUUCGGCUAGGUCCUGAUUGAGGAAAUCUUGUAAUUAUACUUGCUUGCAAAUUAUUUUUCCAGCUAUUAGCAUGUGAAUAUGCAGUUAUGCUACAUCAACUAAUACUUCGUUUGCUUUGUUAUUAUUGCUAGUUUUUUUGUAUGGCCAGCUCAAUGAGUCAACAGUUAAUUAAAAGUUUUGCACUUUUGCUUGUGGAUAUUUUUCUAUCAUGUCAAUAGAUUGGCCAUGCAUGAAGAGUCAACAUCUAGGCGCAAGGUGGAUGAUGAAGUUCAUGAA